GAAAGAAAGAAGAAAGAAAGAAAGAAGAAGAAAGAAAGAAAGAAAGAAAGAAAGAAAGAAAGAAAGAAAGAAAGAAAGAAAGAAAGAAAGAAAAAGAAAGAAAGAAAGAAGGACUGCUUGUUUUAAUCCUUUUACAGGAUGAUCCACGGUGCAUAAAAGUCUAAAUCACUCAAAGUCAUCUAAGCUUCCUUCCACUAAGUCCCUGCAAAUACAGUUGCACUGGGGUUGUCCAUCCUGUUGAGAUCCCACAGGUAAGAUGUUCAUAUCGGGGCCCUGUUGGCUUCAGCCUAAGCCUACUGGCCUCAUCAGCAAUAAAAUUCCCACUGGCCCAGGAAGAUCAGCAUUGGGCCAGCACUGGAUGCUUCUGCAUCUUUGUCCUAGUGCCUCUUUGGAGGUCUCGUGGUCUAAGCUGCCCAGGAAAAGUCCCCUUCUUGGUCUCACCUCCCCCAGUCUCUGAAGUUGCUUCUAGCCCCAGCCUGGUGCACCCACCCAGAGGCAGGCGCAGCCAGGAAGAAGAGCUGCUGAGCAAAAGGGGCCAUGUGUCAGGCACCCAGGGCCUCCUCACCUCUGAAAUUGGCUGCAUGUCCUGCUCUGCACCCCCUCUGCUGAGGCAGGGCUGCGGCACCUGCAGCACAGAGUGGCCCUUUCCAAACAGGAGCAGGAACACGAGCUCUGUAGUGCCACACUGGCUUGGCCUCUGCACUUCCACUGUUUGGGCAUGUUUGAAUAGGUCCCUAAAAGGUGCGCCAGUGGACACGACCUGCAAAGGACCUCUGGCUGCAGGUGGAGCCGACUCCUGCCAGCAGAGCAAGAAAACAACUCAAUGGGAAUGGCUGGGUCUUCAGUCCCGCUGGGAUGGGAAAUGACAGUGGAGACCAGGGGGAGAGGCAGGAGCUUUUUGCAGGCCCCUGUCCCCCCCAGCAUUAACAAGCUUCCGGGAAAGAGGCACUGUGCAUGAGGGACAAGGGUCUGUGGGUUUGCACACCUUGGGUCCUGCCUCUUGAAGGAUGUGCUCAAGGCAAACUGCGCUUCUUCCCUAGGGGAGGUAGGUCCACUUGAAUCACUAGGAGGAGGUAACAACAUGGUUAGGUCCCAGAAGCUCUAGUUCAGUGCUAGCUCAGAAACACAGAGGUGCCUUGAGCAUCCAGACAGGAAAAACAUAAUCUAAGGAGCAGAUGGAUCAUUGAUUGUGUUAUAGUUCAGGGGUGGAGUAGUCAGAAAUGAGAGAACAUGUGCUGAACUCUUACCACAUGUGAUGACUGCUUUGUGCUGCUUGGAAACCACAAGGUUCCCCAAGCUCAGCUAUGAUCCAUCUGACAGAGAGCUGGCUGGCAGCUCACAGACCCCUCCUGUCCUUUCAACCCCACUCCAACCCCUUUUCUUGCCUCUAGCUCACCAAUUUGCUGAUGUUCUCUACCCAUGAAGGCUGUGUGUGGUCAGUGCACAGGCAGGGCAAUAUCUGUAGAGGGGAUAGAAAGCAGGAGGAAGGACUGCAAGGGUCUGGCAGGUAAAGAAAAGGACCUAAUUAAAAGAAGAGGAGGAAGAAGGGGCUGUAAGCUGAGACAGUCUCAUUUGAAAUUGACUUUCUGAAUGAAAAUUUCUAUACCCAAAAUCAUCUAUACUUCCUGAAAGAGAGAACAUUUUUUCCCUUUUUUCCUUUCCCUCAGUUAUCAAUCACAUUAAUAAGGAUUGGAUUGAGUCUAUGUGUGGAAUAUUGAUUUAUUUUCUCAAAUCCCAUAGCAUUGCCCAAAAGUACAGUAGCGCACUCUCAGAAAACACGGGUAAACUAUUUAUCCUUUAAAUUAGGGCAGCAUUAGCAUCCUGUUGGCGAAUUCCCCUCACUCUGCUGGAUAAAUGUGGCCCAUAGAAGGUCCAGCCCAGGCUGCCACACACCUUGCCUGCAAAGAUUUCCUUUCUUUAAUUCUUACAAAAUUGACAGGAGAGUUCUGUAGGGUUCGGAGUGGAGGUCUGUCCCUCCCAAUGGUUUACUGUAGCCUUGGUUACUUGAGGACAGGGCAGAGAAAGCAGAGAAGAUAAAGAACUUCUGACACAUCCUCCCAGCCUCCAGCUGUCACUGGUAGGAACAAACACCCUUCACAGGGUAACUGCCAAACAGUGGUGCUGUUCUGUAAAUCCAGAGCAGGUCCAGAAUGACCUAGUCUUAAAGUCUGAAGGACAGGACAAACAGCCCCAGUCUGCUUGCUCAGAGCCCAUCCAGCAGAUUUCAGGAGCAUUUUACCUGAGAACCAAGGAUUUGACCUCUUUUCAGUUAGGGAUCUCAAGUACUUUCUUCCUGUUCUUUAUCUUCUUCUCAACUAGCUCUGACAAAGCCAGUACAUGGUGAAUAGUUGUUCCUCAUCCACUCUUUCUGGGUCAGUCUUGUGUUUCAAUAACCUCUGUCACAAAUUCUCAUUUAUUUCUUUAUCCAAUUUUUUCAUUUCUUGCACAGAACUGGCUCCAGACCAGUUUCUCCUCAGAGCAUGGCCAAACAUCCUUGUGUCCAGGCUGUCAGAAGCACUUCACACUCAAGGCAUCCUAAAAUCACUGUGGACACUUUGAUCCCAGGUGUUAAAGCAGGCAAUGGGAGACAGUGUGCAGGAGUCAGCUAUCCCUCCUCAUACUUCUGUUUCAAAAUCUCCAACUCCCUGCUGUCUGCUGGCAGGAGACAUCCCUAGUCACAACCCCUCACAGAAGGAUUAUAUUUUUUUUCUACUUUCAGAGCAAAUGUGGCACACUUGGGUUCCUGUUCAUGACUGGAGCCUGAAAGUGCUGCAGCGAUGAAAGUGAUAGAACAAGAGCAGCAAGUACCACAGGGUGUAAUAAAGGGUGUUGGAGCCCCAGGCUGACAUCCCCUGAGGAGAAUCUCUGCUGGCAGUGUGGGUGUGGGGAAUCCCUUUUGCUGAGAAAUAAUCCUACAUGUCUGGUAAAAAUCUUCCUUCCUCAUCCUCUACAACACAAAGUAGAGUUGAAAGAACCCCCACGGACCACAGGAACACUUAAAGGCAGAAGAGGAGUUUGCAGGGGCCCAGGCUUCCAAAUGCCACCUUAUCCAGGAGAAACAACUGCUGCCAAGCACCCAAGCACUGGCCCCGACACUUGGCUCUUUCUUGUAGCCUGAUCACUACAGGAGAAACAUUACCAGCUAAGCUUUCCCUGUCCCUUGCUACAAUAAAAUUAUGUCCUCAAAGGCUCUCAGUGCUCCUUGGAAGAAUCCUGACAUCAGAAACAAAACUGGAGUGCACCAGUGUUGAUCCUCCAGUCUUACCAUCUCUCCAUGUAGAUCUUCCAACCAAACAUGGCAGAAAAAUGGCACACAGGGAAGAAAUUAGCACUCAGAAGCAUCCCUGUCAAUCCCUGCACUUCUUUCUAUCCCCUAAAAUUAACUUGAAAUUGAUACUUUAUAAAAUUCUCACUGACAUCUGAAAACAGUUAUAUGCUAAUAAAAUACAGGGGAAAAGAAGUUUUAGAGUAUUAAAGAAAAUAAUUUUAAUCCAUGCUUAACAGGUGAUAUUUCAAGUUAUAGCUGGUGGUAGUAUUUCUGACAGACUAAUGCUAAGCUGUAUUAGUAAUAGGCACAUUUGGGUUUUUUUAAAUGCCCUAUUUCAUGAAAAGAAGAUGAUUGAGAAAAAAAAUGCAAGGUGAAUGCAAGCAAUCACAAGAGGCCAUUCAUCAUUCUGCCCACAUUUUUUUAUGAAUAUAUUCACAGAACUGCAACUGUGCUCAUUCCACAAGUAGCUCAGGGCAGAGGGAUUAAAUCAAGACAACCUUUAUAAUUGUUAUCCUGCUGUCAGUCAGCCUUUUUUAUCCGUCAGCAUAUGGAGACAAUAUAAUUUCCAUUAAUAUUGCCACUCAGUUAGUGUCAUUGGACUGAAAUGAUGACAUUAAGUGGAUUCU